ACUACGAAAAAAAAAAUUGGAUAAUUUGAAGAAAAUGGAUUAAAAAUAAAAGAAUCCGAAGCGAUUCUGAUUUUCAAAUCGAUCAUCUGAUUUUGAUUUAGUAGCGAAAGACUAAUCGAACAAAUAAUCUUGUAGCUGGUUCCCUCUGAAAUUUCCCUCAGAAUAGUUGGAGUACGCAAUGAAGCUGUUAUAUUCGGUAAAGCGAAUGAUUAGAGGAAUUGUGGGACGAAACGUCUUCAACCUAUUCUCAAACUUUCAAUGAGUAUGACGUCUUGCUUGCUUAAAUGAUACGUUAACGUUGAACGUGUGUUUCACGUGGGAGCAUUUUAGGUAAA
rnacentral:ncRNA from 1 species